AGUCUGUAUGCAUCAAAUGCAUUUGCAUUUGGCUUUGCAUCCCUCAAACCGAUUUUAACGUUGUAUCAGUUUGUGAUAAAGCUGAAAAUAAAUUAAUCAAGUACCUUGUUGUUGAAAGCCAUCAAUACAUUCCCAUUUUUUUUCACAGCAUACCUUGAUCCUGAUCAUCAAGCAUCAAUGUGUCAAACCAAAUUUACCUCUAUGUAAAAAAUAUUACAGAGAAUACUUUAACUUACCAAUCAAAAGGUGAAUUACAGAUCCUAAAGAGUGCCCAAUGCCAA
rnacentral:lncRNA from 1 species